UACGUAGGGUGCAAGCGUUAUCCGGAAUUAUUGGGCGUAAAGAGCUCGUAGGCGGUUUGUCGCGUCUGCUGUGAAAACUGGAGGCUCAACCUCCAGCCUGCAGUGGGUACGGGCAGACUAGAGUGCGGUAGGGGGGAUUGGAAUUCCUGGUGUAGCGGUGGAAUGCGCAGAUAUCAGGAGGAACACCGAUGGCGAAGGCAGAUCUCUGGGCCGUAACUGACGCUGAGGAGCGAAAGCGUGGGGAGCGAACAGG
rnacentral:rRNA from 1 species